rnacentral:tRNA from 1 species
GUGUAUGUGGCUUAAUGGUUAGGGCUUUUGGCUCACGACUGUAAAGUUCUGAGUUCAAAUCCCAGCGGCACG